UGGCAAGCGGAGCCACAGAGUAAGCCUCCAGCAGGGUAGAGUGACAAACUAGCAAUCGGAAGUUACUGUUGAAGCUAAGGCAGCCAUAACUGAUAAUGGCAGGGAAUUUCCUGGCCUCCCGUCUCCAGUGUGACGUAGUUUUCCCUUCGCCCAAAUCUCACCGUUGCCCUGGGCAACAGUCGAGCCGUCUGGGAAGAUAAAUCUUUUCUUCUGUAGGCUUGAGUCAAGAACUGUGAGUCAUCUUGGUAAUACUGGGUUGGAUGCCUAACGUUGCCGGGAAAAAGACCAGGAGAACUUUCAGGAAAAAACUUAGCUGUAUCCAACAAUUCAGAUAUGGCAGAAGUGAAGUCAGUGUUCCGGGAAGUUCUUCCAAAACAAGGGCAGUUGUCAGUGGAAGAUAUAACCACAAUGGUGCUGUGUAAACCCAAACUUUUGCCCUUAAAAUCUCUGACUCUGGAAAAACUGGAGAAAAUGCAGCAAGCAGCCCAGGAUACGAUUCGCCAACAAGAAAUGGCAGAAAAGGAACAACAGCAAAUAACUCACUGAAUGCUAAGGAUUUGAAACCAAUUAUCUAAGAUGGUCAUCAGUAGUUCAGCUUCUAGUUGUAGCUAAAGAGGCAAGACUUGACUUUCUUGUUCAAAUACAAUAACCUCUAUGGCUCCAGAGAAAAGGAGGAAAAAGUUUUCCAGCAUAAGAACUUCAACAAGAAUGUUCUUCCUAAUACACUGCCUGUUAAAAUCACCUUUGCACCUAGUACACACUCAACGAAUGUUGGCUGAAUGAAGUAAAUAAUCUCAUUUACGUAUCUUUGACUUCAACUUCUGCAAUGUAUUUUCAUGAAAGUAAUCUCUACACCGAACGUGAGGCUCAAACUCACAACCCUGAGAUCAAGAGUCACAAGCUCCUCCAACUGAGAAAGCCAAGGGCCCUGAGUAUUACCACCUUAACAAUAUUACGUCUUCCAAUCCAUAAAUGUAGGAUAUCUGGGUAUCUUUCUACUUAUUUAGGUCUUAAUUUAUUUCAACAAUGUUUUGCAGUUGUUGGUAUAUAAGAAUUACACUUGUUUUGUUAAAUUUAUUCCUAAAUAUUUUAGUAUUUUCUAUUCUACUGUAAAAGAAAUUGUUUCCUAAUUUCACUUCAAAACAUUCAUUGCUAGUGUACAGAACUAGAACUGAAUAUUGUAUAUUGAUCUUAUAUCCUACAACCCUGCUGAAUUCAUUUAUUAGUUGACAGUUUGGUUUUUGUUUUUUUGUAGAGUCAUUCAGAUUUUCUAUAUGCAGAUCAUGUCAUCUGGGAAUAAAGAUAAGUUUUACUUCUUCCUUUCCCAUCUAGAUGCCUUUUAUGUCAAAAUCUUGCCAAAAUGCCCUGGUAUCUUGACUGUGUUUAUACCCAAUCUUCCCAACAACUUGAAAAAUUUUUUAAAACCAGAUGUUGCAAUCAUGACAUUACAAACACCAACUUAUCUACUUUAAGAUAUAUAAAAGCAAAUUGUACUCGCUUCGGCAGCACAUAUACUAAGAUAUAUAAAAGCAAACUGGUCAAAAUCUAUACUUUCAGCUCCUUAACCCCCAAACUAAGUACACAUAUCACUAAAAGAUUAAAUAUCGAAACUAUAGUCACAUGAAAAGAAUAUACUCAAAAAUCAGAAGCACAUGAGCUAUAUAAAUCUUCUAAUUUUCUUAACAAUCCGCAAAUAAGAUUAAAUACUUUUUCUGGUUUCCUGUUACACAACAUUACUUUAUUGCCAGAAAAAAAGAUCCACAGAGAAUAAAUCUGGCAUUUUAAUGCAAAAAUCAAUCAUUUUUACUUUUAAAGCAUGCAUACAGGUAGCGAACUUCCUUACAAAAAUCUACCACUCUGAUCUACUCUAGUGUUCAUAAUUCUUAACUUAUGAUCUCAGAGUAUCCAGUUUCAAAUUACUCACUUAAAAAUGUAGUUAUUUACUGAGUAACUAUAAAAUAGAAAGUCUUACUUUGACAGUAUUUGAAAAAUUUUAAACACCAAUAUAAGAAAAGACUUCAGGCAUUCCUUUGAGGUUCAAAUACAGCCUUCUUAUGAAAGCCCUUUUAACUUAACUCAGUCUUAUUUUUAAGUCAGAGAAACCAUAAAAAUUUAGUAACAAUUAUAUAAUUCUUGUGUAAUUUAUAGCACUAGGGUAUAAAGCCAAAUAUACAAAGGUUAUCCAAUUUUCCAUGUGUAACUUUAAGACUGAACUUAAUUUUUGUCUGCAGAAAUACCAGCUAGAGGGCAUAGUUUACUUCCCUAGAGAAAUACAUGUAAAUUAAGUUAAAGACAAUACCCAGUAGUUACCUCUUUAACAAGGUGAUUAACAGACUGCUGCCCACCUCCAGAACCCCACACACUGUCUUUGCGCUUUCCACCUUUAGACAUACUCAGGAGCACAGUAGCCUUGUCCAGAGCAGCUCUACCAAAAAAAAUAAAUAAAUAACAAUAAUAAAUAAUUUUGGCAACUUGGACAUGCUUGAGGCUGACCUAAAAGCUUUCAUGUAACCUAAAAGCAACCUAAAAUUCCAAAGUCUUUUAAAAAACAAAUACUUUUUAAAAUAAAAAGUUGGGAACAAAAAAACAGUUGCUUUUCAUGUUAAUAUUCUCAUACUCUCUUCUUUUCUCAAUCAACAAAAAUCUAAAACCUUAUUACAAAAUAAUACAUCUAUCCUGAGGAGAAACAUUUUGCAUAAAACUAAACUUUUACAUAGAUAUAUGCCUUCCCACCAGGGCAACCAUUCCACUCUGAUCUGAGUAGUCCUAGAAAAUUAAGUUAACAUCUACACCUGAGAAAACCUAACACAUGGCUAAGACCAAAUCUAAGUUUCCAGAAAGUUAUAAAAAUCAUACAGGAUGACUCCCAAAUACUACAUUUAGCCUAAAAUUAUACCAAAGAACAAGAGUGAAAAACAUUAUUUCCUAAUAUUACUGUAGCAGAUAAAUAUAAAAUAAAAUAGAAAAUGGGGUUCCUUUGUUAAUACUGUCCAUCUUACUAGAAUAUGAAAUAAUUACAGAAUGUAAAAACCUGAAGAGACCUUAAAUAUUCUCAGUCCAAUCCUUCCAUUUUAUAAAUAAGGAAACUGAGGCCCAGAGAAGAGUGGUUUGACAUAAAGGUAGCUAGGUUUAGCUAAUCCCAAACUUCUACAUUAUAGUACUGUCCUCUUCCUGUUACAUCAUGUCAACAAUCUCUCAAUUUUGUUUUAGCAGUGGAGAAUGCACACAAAUGACAAACACAAUGUCUGAUUAAUCCAAAUGUCAUUUCAAUAAAAUCCUGUAGAAUUUUCCCCUCUUUUGAAAUUCUAAGUAGAAAAAUUAAUUUACUUACCUAGCCUGUACACAAUCUACAGUUCCUUUGUAACUAUCAAUAUAGGUAUUACAUAAAAUUCCAUCUCCAACAGCUCUAGCAAUAAACUGGCCCACCAACUACAAUAAGGAAAAAAAAAAAAAGCUAUAUAAAAAAAUCUAAAACCUUUAUAGGACACAAUUUCUAAA